AAUACAUGCAAGUCGAGCGAAUGGAUUAAGAGCUUGCUCUUAUGAAGUUAGCGGCGGACGGGUGAGUAACACGUGGGUAACCUGCCCAUAAGACUGGGAUAACUCCGGGAAACCGGGGCUAAUACCGGAUAACAUUUUGAACCGCAUGGUUCGAAAUUGAAAGGCGGCUUCGGCUGUCACUUAUGGAUGGACCCGCGUCGCAUUAGCUAGUUGGUGAGGUAACGGCUCACCAAGGCAACGAUGCGUAGCCGACCUGAGAGGGUGAUCGGCCACACUGGGACUGAGACACGGCCCAGACUCCUACGGGAGGCAGCAGUAGGGAAUCUUCCGCAAUGGACGAAAGUCUGACGGAGCAACGCCGCGUGAGUGAUGAAGGCUUUCGGGUCGUAAAACUCUGUUGUUAGGGAAGAACAAGUGCUAGUUGAAUAAGCUGGCACCUUGACGGUACCUAACCAGAAAGCCACGGCUAACUACGUGCCAGCAGCCGCGGUAAUACGUAGGUGGCAAGCGUUAUCCGGAAUUAUUGGGCGUAAAGCGCGCGCAGGUGGUUUCUUAAGUCUGAUGUGAAAGCCCACGGCUCAACCGUGGAGGGUCAUUGGA
rnacentral:rRNA from 1 species